AUGGCAGCGGCAGCAGCACCAGGAGCGUCCGGCAGUGGCUCCGCGUCCGCGACGGCCGAGCGGCGCCUGAGGAUGAUGUGCAGCCACGGCGGCUGCUUCGCGCCCUGCGCCGCAGACGGCGCGGUCCGGUACGUCGGAGGCGAGACCCGCGUCCUCGCCGUGCCGCGCGGGGUCUCCUUCCGGGAGCUGGCCGCGAGGCUCGAGGAGAUGCUGGCCAGCGGCGGCCGCAAGAUCGUGACAGCGCUCCGGUACCGCCUCGCCGACGACGAGGAAGUGCUCGUGUCCGUCACCUGCGACGAGGAGCUCGCCCACUUGCGCGACGAGUACGACCGCCUGCAGGCCACGCGGCCGUCGGCGACCUUCCGGGUGUUCUUCUCCGGCGUCCAGCGUCCCGCGGCGUCUGGGCGUCCCCCGCUGCACCCGGGGACGCUGCGGCGCGUGCAGAGCGACCCGUGCACGGCCGCGCGCGUCGCCGUUCCGCGGCCGAUGCGGCGUGUGCAGAGCGCGCAGGACCUCGCCGGAUACAGCCGCUUCCAGUUCCAGCAGUGCUGCUACGACAAACCCCAGCGCCGCCGCGACCAGUACGCGCCCGUGCCGGCGCCGCCGAUGCGUCCACCUCUCUCUGCCAUGUCCAAGAACUCGCACGGUGCGAUUCGACAAGGCCAGGAACUGAUGACGGCCAAGAAGACGGCCGACGCCGUCAUCGCAGAGGCGGCAGCGCUUUAUGGGAGCUGGAGCGAAAUUUAG
rnacentral:rRNA from 1 species